rnacentral:rRNA from 1 species
GACGAACGCUGGCGGCGUGCUUAACACAUGCCAGUCGAACGCUGAAGCACCAGCUUGCUGGUGUGGAUGAGUGGCGAACGGGUGAGUAAUACGUGAGUAACCUGCCCUUGACUCUGGGAUAAGCCCGGGAAACUGGGUCUAAUACUGGAUGCUACAUGUCACCGCAUGGUGGUGUGUGGAAAGGGUUUACUGGUCUUGGAUGGGCUCACGGCCUAUCAGCUUGUUGGUGAGGUAAUGGCUCACCAAGGCGACGACGGGUAGCCGGCCUGAGAGGGUGACCGGCCACACUGGGACUGAGACACGGCCCAGACGCCUACGGGAGGCAGCAGUGGGGAAUAUUGCACAAUGGGCGAAAGCCUGAUGCAGCGACGCCGCGGGAGGGAGGACGGCCUUCGGGUUGUAAACCUCGUUCAGCAGGGAAGAAGCCACAAGUGACGGUACCUGCAGAAGAAGCGCCGGCUAACUACGUG